AAGACCUUGCACUUUUGGAGCGGCCGAUGUCUGAUUAGCUAGUUGGUGGGGUAAUGGCCUACCAAAGCUUCGAUCAGUAGCUGGUCUGAGAGGACGGCCAGCCACACUGGGACUGAGACACGGCCCAGACUCCUACGGGAGGCAGCAGUGGGGAAUUUUGGACAAUGGGCGCAAGCCUGAUCCAGCCAUGCCGCGUGAGUGAAGAAGGCCUUCGGGUUGUAAAGCUCUUUCAGCCGGGAAGAAAAGGUUGCGACUAAUAAUCGCAAUCCAUGACGGCACCGAAAGAAGAAGCACCGGCUAACUACGUGCCAGCAGCCGCGGUAAUACGUAGGGUGCGAGCGUUAAUCGGAAUUACUGGGCGUAAAGGGUGCGCAGGCGGUUUUGUAAGUCAGAUGUGAAAUCCCCGGGCUUAACCUGGGAACU
rnacentral:rRNA from 1 species